ACAUAUUAGGGUGAUUUGGCUGUGGCAUCUGUUACUCCAUGAAUUGCCAGAGUUGAUUUUGCUGAUCUGGGUGACUAGAUAGGUGUCCCCUUUCUCCUUCACUCUCUGUAUCCAAGUCCCAAGCUGUGUGGUUGGUGGAAAAAAAAAAGAGGACAACCAUCUCAGAUUGAAGAAAUGUCAUCAUUCAACAAACAUUAUUUAUUUCGUACCACUUAGGCUGCAUACAGGUGUUGCUUAUCCAUGCUU
rnacentral:sRNA from 1 species